CUACGGGGGGCUCCAGUGGGGAAUAUUGCACAAUGGGCGCAAGCCUGAUGCAGCCAUGCCGCGUGUAUGAAGAAGGCCUUCGGGUUGUAAAGUACUUUCAGCGGGGAGGAAGGGAGUAAAGUUAAUACCUUUGCUCAUUGACGUUACCCGCAGAAGAAGCACCGGCUAACUCCGUGCCAGCAGCCGCGGUAAUACGGAGGGUGCAAGCGUUAAUCGGAAUUACUGGGCGUAAAGCGCACGCAGGCGGUUUGUUAAGUCAGAUGUGAAAUCCCCGGGCUCAACCUGGGAACUGCAUCUGAUACUGGCAAGCUUGGGUCUCGUAGAGGGGGGUAGAAUUCCAGGUGUAGCGGUGAAAUGCGUAGAGAUCUAGAGGAAUACCGGUGGCGAAGGCGGCCCCCUGGACGAAGACUGACGCUCAGGUGCGAAAGCGUGGGGAGCAAACAGGAUUAGAUACCCGAGUAGUC
rnacentral:rRNA from 1 species